UCCUGGUCUAAGGUGAUUGAAUCCUGAAG
rnacentral:piRNA from 1 species